rnacentral:rRNA from 1 species
AUUGAACGCUGGCGGCAGGCCUAACACAUGCAAGUCGAACGAGUGGCGGACGGGUGAGUAAUGUCUGGGAAACUGCCCGCUGGAGGUGGAUAACUACUGGAAACGGUAGCUAAUACCGCAUACAAUCGGAUGUGCCCAGAUGGGAUGAGCUAGUAUGUGGGGGAACGGCUCACCUAGGCGACGAUCCCGAGCUGGUCUGCGAGGAUGCCCAGACACACUGGAACUGAUACACGGUCCAGACUCCUACGGGAGGCAGCAGUGGGGAAUAUUGCACAAUGGGCGCAAGCCUGAUGCAGCCAUGCCGCGUGUAUGAAGAAGGCCUUCGGGUUGUAAAGUACUUUCAGCGAGGAGGCGUUACUCGCAGAAGAAGCACCGGCUAACUCCGUGCCAGCAGCCGCGGUAAUAC